GGGAGGCAGCAGUGAGGAAUAUUGGUCAAUGGACGAGAGUCUGAACCAGCCAAGUAGCGUGAAGGAUGACUGCCUAUGGGUUGUAAACUUCUUUUAUACGGGAAUAAGUGAGCCACGUGUGGCUUUUUGUAUGUACCGUAUGAAUAAGGAUCGGCUAACUCCGUGCCAGCAGCCGCGGUAAUACGGAGGAUCCGAGCGUUAUCCGGAUUUAUUGGGUUUAAAGGGAGCGUAGAUGGAUGUUUAAGUCAGUUGUGAAAGUUUGCGGCUCAACCGUAAAAUUGCAGUUGAUACUGGAUAUCUUGAGUGCAGUUGAGGCAGGCGGAAUUCGUGGUGUAGCGGUGAAAUGCUUAGAUAUCACGAAGAACUCCGAUUGCGAAGGCAGCCUGCUAAGCUGCAACUGACAUUGAGGCUCGAAAGUGUGGGUA
rnacentral:rRNA from 1 species